AAUGUUACUGUUACAGUAGGGAAAAAUCUUUAUUUGUUUUUUUUGUUUCUUUUAUAGAUAAAGUAAAAUGAAUUAUUGGUAUUAUUGAUACUAUUAUAUUCCUUUGAAUUUUUUUUUAGUCAUCUAUGAAGAGGUUCUGUUUUCGUUUUUUUUGAUAGAUACACUAAAAUGAAUUAUUAAUAUUGUUGAUAUUAUUAUUAUCUUACUUUGAUUUUUUUUUUUAGGUGUCUAUGAAGAAGAGGUUGUGUUUUCCAGGUGGCCUGUAAAAAUUGAAUUUUUGCCUCAGUUACAUUGUAAUUUUUUUGUUUUAUCCAAUAAUGCUCAAAGAUUCGAGAUUUAAAAUUCCUUUUUGUAAUUAAUUUUCACACCAUGGUAAUACCAAUUUGUUGUUAUUCAAUGUAAAAGUUUAGUGGAUACUAUCAUGACGCUAGUUGAUUGGAG
rnacentral:lncRNA from 1 species